CUAGCUGUAAACGAUGGAUACUAGGCGUUGAGAGUAUCGACCCUCUCAGUGUCGUAGCUAACGCGUUAAGUAUCCCGCCUGGGGAGUACGCGCGCAAGCGUGAAACUCAAAGGAAUUGACGGGGGCCCGCACAAGCGGCGGAGUAUGUGGUUUAAUUCGAUGCAACGCGAAGAACCUUACCAGGGCUUGACAUGUCCGGAACCCUGCCCAAAGGCGGGGGUGCCUACGGGAACCGGAACACAGGUGGUGC
rnacentral:rRNA from 1 species